UUUUAUAACAAUUAGAGAGAGAAGAACAAAAUUCACGGACACCCCCUUUCUCUUAGCAACCUAACCAUAAACGCAAUCAACCAUCACCAUCCCUCGUCGCCGAACUCUUCUCCUCUAGUAGAGGAUGCUGUCGCCACCGAUGGAGACAGAUCGUGAGUGUCAUCACACUCUUCUCAUCGCCGAACUCUUCUUAGCUCUCAUCGUUCCUCUUCUCUCUCUCUCUCCCUCUCUCUCUCUCUCUCUCUCUCUCUCUGCGAAACAAUGAAGAAGGUGAGGAGUCGCCGAAGGUAUAUUCGCCAAGAACACCGACACCGGAGACAGCAUUGCCAUUAAGGUCAUGGCUAAAUCCACCAUUCUCAAGCAUAGAAUGGUUGAACAGGUUGAAUUUAUAUCAGCCACAAAUACAAGGAAGAUGUGAAACUCAUGGUGGGAACAGGCCUUGAUGCUUAUAGGUUAUCCAUUUCUUGGUCAAGAUUGAUUCCAAAAGAGACUUCAUAAAUUAUGCAGAAGUGUGUUUCAGAGAGUUCGGUGACAGAGUCUUAUAUUGGAAUACUAUGAACGAGCCGAACGUGUUUACCAUAGGUGGUUAUGAUCAAGAAACAACCCCACCUAUACGAUAUUCGCCCCCAUUUUGCCAGAAAUAUAAUAGCAGUAGGGGUGACUCCACAACUGAGCCUUAGUUGGCAGUUCAUCAUAUUUUGCUAUCACAUUCUUCAGUAGUGAGAUUGUAUAGAAGAAAGUAUAAGAUUAUUCUUCCUGCAAAUGAUACAGAUGAAGACUGGGCAGCCACUCAAAGAGCCCAUGAUUUUUUUAUUAUUGAGUCCUUACAAGAUGCCUUGAAGCAAUUAUAUCUGAUUGAUGCUAUUGAUGAAAAUGGUGCAAUUACAAGUAUUGGACAGAAAAUGGCUGAGCUUCCAUUAGAACCUUCCUUAUCACGAACCUUGAUGGAGGCAAAUGAUUAUGGUUGCAUACCUAAGGCUUUGACUGUUGCUGCCAUGUUAUCAGCUGAAACUACAUUGCUACCAGGGUGGAGGUCAACAGACACAAAGGAAUUCAUCACUUCAAGAUGUGACAAGAGUGGAAUACUUGCAUGUAUAUAUUGGUGCUGUGCUUGAUUCCAUAAGGUAAUGCAGUUGCUAGUUUUUUGUGGUUUGAAAAAAAAAUGAGAGCUUAUUUUUCUUGAGUUACUACUCUAUUUAGCUUAUUUAAAAAGUAAAGAUAGACCUUAUGAAAUUUUGGUUACAUAACAUGUGAAAACUGGUUUUUGGCUAACAAGUUACCUUAAAGUAGCCGAUUCAGUUGGAUCCAGAAUAGUUUGAUUCUAAAAGGCUCAUAGUGCUAAUGAAUUAGACCCUCGUAAAAGGAAAACACAAUUGCUUUAUGUGUGUAUAUUUUUCUCAUUUGAUCCUAAAUUUUUCUUUUCAGAGAUUGAUCAAACAUAAAGGGAUACUUUGCAUGGUCUUUCAUGGAUGUAUUUGAAUUUUUGGAUUUUGGUUUAAGUGUUUGAAAUGCUUUCUGCAGAGCUUCAUUAAGAUUAUGUUUGCAUAUAUCCUGAAGACAUAUCUCUUGGCUUAGUUUUACAGGUACUUACUAGAUUAAUUGUGGUCAUAAAAUAAUUUUUAAUAUAUAUGAAUUGAUGUUUAUAAAUUUAUUUUUUUUAAAAGAGUAAUGGUGUUGUGCGAAAGUUUCAUGAGUAAUGAUCUUCUGAGUAGGUUUACAAUUGAAGGCUUGAACAUUCACAUUAAUUAGACUGCAGCAGCCUUUAAUGAUUGAUUCAUUCAUUCAAAUUGUAAAUGGAAGGUUUCAGAAUGAACUUGGUAAUCUCAUGGUCCCUCAAUUCAAUAAAUAUUUUUAAUU